rnacentral:misc_RNA from 1 species
ACCGUUCAUAUCAAGCCUAUCCAAAUUACCAGAUCCAGGAAGAAUCUUAUCUAAUCCAAGACACUUCCUAGCCUUGCUAAAGAAGAUCUUGCAUUGAUCACGGGAUCUCGUUCCAACACAUCCUGAGACCAUAACAAAAUCCUUUCCAUAAGCUGACACAGCUUGGACGAAGGUUGAUUUCUCUUCAUCUGUCCAAUCAGUAGGUUCCAUCUCCCCACAGCUAUCAUCUGAACAGGUUUCAUCAUCAACUCUCUGGGUAACCUCAGGAGUCCGGGGCAAUCUGGUCGACAAACCCACUUUCAGGUGCUUCCACUCCUGGUUCCCUUCACCAGGAUCAACUGAACUCGUAAUGCAAGAACUCAUAGCUUCUGAUGAUAAGGAUCCACAAAUACCAGCCAAAACAUCAGCAGCCACUGUUUCUCUUUCACUAUGACAUACAUCAAGACUGUUUGACCUCUCCAACUCAUUG